rnacentral:rRNA from 1 species
CAGAGACUGCAAGCGUUAUUCGGAUUCACUGGGCGUAAAGGGUGCGCAGGCGGCCGGGUGUGUGAGGCGUGAAAGCCCGAUGCUUAACAUCGGAAUUGCACCUCAAACUACACGGCUAGAGCAUUGGAGAGGGUAGCGGAAUUCACGGUGUAGCAGUGAAAUGCGUAGAUAUCGUGAGGAACACCAGAGGCGAAGGCGGCUACCUGGACAAUUGCUGACGCUCAGGCACGAAAGCGUGGGGAGCAAAAGGGAUUAGAUACCCCUGUAGUCCACGCCCUAAACGGUGCACACUAGGUCUUGGCGGAUUCGACCCCACCAGGGCCCCAGCUAACGCGUUAAGUGUGCCGCCUGAGGACUACGGUCGCAAGACUA